CCACAUGAGCAUGAUACCGUACAAAACCAAACUUGCAAUACUUUUCCUAUAAAAAACGUUGUUUGGGGUAAUAAAUCUGCAAACUGGGAAACUCAAAGUAUGCAACCAAUCAAGGGUUGAAGAUUGAAGACGGAGAAAAAUAGGCGCCAUUAUUUGCUUUGCUCUCUCUCUCUCUCUAAAAUUUUCUCUCUCUAACUCUUUGAAGCCUACUUGCAACGUCUCCUUUUUCAUCCUUUAAAUAAAAAACAAAGUUAAAUAGAGGAUUCAGAGUCGAUACAAUACAAAUAUAUUCAUAUACACGGAGAGAGGUCAACACUUUAUAAAUCUCUAUUCACCAACUCCCCUUCUUCUUCCUCAAGCGGCUUUGAUUUCGCGACCAAGCACAUCAGACAUUUUAUGGAUAAAGCAGGACUUGGCAAGGAGGCUCCUGAAGAAGUGACUCGUGAGUCGCUUAUUGCCAUUUCGUACUCUUUACCAGAGAAGAAUCUCACUUCAAAACUCUCUUCUGGAGAGUUGAAUGGCGAGGCAAUAGAUACUGAUGGAGAAGAGAAGUUUAGGUCUGAGCUGAUCUCCAUUUCGUAUACAGAGUCACCGGAAGUUGGAGGCUUACCCGUUACCAUGGGAGAACUUAACGGCUAGGGUGCAGGUGGUUCCUGUAUUAAUACAAACCGAGUAAUACUGUGUGCAUGGACUUGUACUGUGUAAGUUGUUUACAUAUUCUGUAAAAUAAACCUUAAAAGAGUUCCUUGAGACAAUGAAUGAAAAAACUUCCUGUCUUCUGUGUCUCUGUGUGCUGCUGGUUGUGAAAUCUGGGUUUUGUAUCUCUGCUGCCUCGAAGUUUACUCUAAAUCUUUUGGCACUUGUGUUACCAAUUGUUGGGACUCACAGCUCGCCUGCAAUGAAUAAUAUAAACUUUGUGUUA